CUUAAAUUGAAGAGUUUGAUCAUGGCUCAGAUUGAACGCUGGCGGCAGGCCUAACACAUGCAAGUCGAGCGGUAACAGGAAGAAAGCUUGCUUUCUUUGCUGACGAGCGGCGGACGGGUGAGUAAUGCCUGGGAAUAUGCCUUAACGUGGGGGAUAACUAUUGGAAACGAUAGCUAAUACCGCAUGAUGCCUACGGGCCAAAGAGGGGGACCUUCGGGCCUCUCGCGUUAAGAUUAGCCCAGGUGGGAUUAGCUAGUUGGUGAGGUAAUGGCUCACCAAGGCGACGAUCCCUAGCUGGUCUGAGAGGAUGAUCAGCCACACUGGAACUGAGACACGGUCC
rnacentral:rRNA from 1 species